rnacentral:rRNA from 1 species
CCUACGGGCGGCAGCAGUGGGGAAUAUUGGACAAUGGGGGGAACCCUGAUCCAGCCAUGCCGCGUGUGUGAAGAAGGCCCUCGGGUUGUAAAGCACUUUCAGUGAGGAAGAACGCCUGGUGGUUAAUACCCAUCAGGAAAGACAUCACUCACAGAAGAAGCACCGGCUAACUCCGUGCCAGCAGCCGCGGUAAUACGGAGGGUGCGAGCGUUAAUCGGAAUUACUGGGCGUAAAGCGCGCGUAGGUGGCUUGAUAAGCCGGUUGUGAAAGCCCCGGGCUCAACCUGGGAACGGCAUCCGGAACUGUCAAGCUAGAGUGCAGGAGAGGAAGGUAGAAUUCCCGGUGUAGCGGUGAAAUGCGUAGAGAUCGGGAGGAAUAUCAGUGGCGAAGGCGGCCUUCUGGACUGACACUGACACUGAGGUGCGAAAGCGUGGGUAGCAAACAGGAUUAGAUACCCCGGUAGUC